UCGAGCCAGACAAACCAAGUCUUCCUCCUAUCAACACCACAUCUAGCUGAAGAUGAAGACUGCACACACGCUGCUCCUGGCGGUCGCCUUCCUAGUGCUGGCAUCAGUGAAGGCGGACGUCUGUACAGGGUCACUUCACAAGACGCCGCUACCGUGUGAUCAGGCAGGUUGCCUGCACAUUUGCCGCGAGCAUGUGAAUGGGCAAGGGCACGCGUGCCCUCAAUGCAAUUGGAGUGCUAGUUGCAACUAUAAUGGAUUAUGCGAGUGUGAUGUCUGCCUUCCUCCUCCUUCUGCUCCUAUCCAACACCAACAGAGCGACUGAUAUAUACUAGUACCAGCUUUCUGAGAUGGGGAUAGGAUAGUUGGUUCUCUGUAAUAAGAACGAUACCGUCGUAUGGUGUAUCGGUUGUGAUAUACUCAUUGUAGAAUGCAUGCGAAUUUGAUA